rnacentral:misc_RNA from 1 species
CAAGAACCAAAUGACCAAUUCCAAGUUUCAAGCUUAUGAGAAGAAAAGAAACAGCCAACCCAUUUUUUUCAUCUCUAGAUCUUCCUCUGUAGUCGGAAACCAGAAACCAGAGACCUGAUUGUUUCUCUGCAAAAAACCAAUAAUCAACUGUUUUUCUUAUUCUCAUUCCCUAACAAUCAGCCUCUCUCUCUGUGUUUCAAUACCCAACAAAGCACAGCUUUCAAUUUUCUCGAUCUCUGAAAAAAUGCCUUCUCCAAUCCUCCCUGUAACUGUAAAACAAUCGCCCGAACACUCCUUUCUUGACCCAUCUCCUUCCCUAUCCCCACCCACCUCCGCAAACUCCAUAAUGUUACUAAAACAAGAGAUUCUUGAUGACCCAACAGCCAGGCUUUUGAUUUCUUCUCCUUUUGAUGAAGAAACUGCUGUUUCCACUAAGCCUCUUUUGUCCCGGUCUUCUAGUUUUGUAGGUACUACCACCAUAGCUUUUACUUCUGCAAAUUCUUAUCAAAAGAGACGCCGAAGGAUCGCUAGUGAUACUUCCCUCCCUUCCCUUUCUGAUACAGGUAGUCCUCGCCAAUCCGUUAGUCGUGAAAUCGGUCAUGCCGCUGCCGAGACGUUUCUGCUUACUAGAUUGAGUCUGAAGCUCUUAAGAUAUCUAGGGGUAGGCUACAAAUGGAUCAUGAGAUUCCUUGCCCUUGGGUGUUACUCUUUGAUGCUUUUGCCAGGUUUUAUCCAAGGUCUGUGGCAUUCAGUAAUCCUUUGCAAGAUUUUCAUGCACAAAAGCCCAGCACUAAACUUGCACAUAGAUUUAAAAUAUGAAAAAAUUUGCAAAAUGUAGUAAACAAAUAGAUAUUAGCAAAGUUGACUAAAAUUAAGGGAUGCAACUAAUUAAUGAGUAUAAAUGCUUCAAAUUAAAACAUUGAGUCCAUGAUUAAUAUUAAUUGUCAACAAUCAACUCAAGUAACAUGCCCAAAACAUAGUAAAGGAUAAAGAUCUAACCUUAUUACCACCAAAAAGAGUGUCUACUCUUGGCUUUGAGCUAAACUUCAAAUUUAUAGUUAAAUUUCAAGUAAAUGUGUAAUUUAUUGAAAGAAAUUAUGUGAGUAACUUAAAAAUUUUUGAAAAACAAAUGUAAAUCUAGCAAAUUUGUUGUUGUUGUUGUUAUUGUAUCAAAUUAACAUAUGAUAUUUUUAAAUCCAUUGUAAGUAUAGCAUAAAGCACAUGUUUUAACAAUAAAAUUGCAAAUGCAAGUAAGCAACAAAAAAUAAAAAAGAAGGUAAAAAAUUAACAACUCUUAAGAGGAAAGUGUGAAGAAUACCCUCUUCAUUUGAUUUUUCCUUGUUGCUAACUAUAAUCAAGCAUUAAUUUCGGUGGUGAGACUUUUUAAGGAUUAGAGUUGAAGAAGAACUCAAAGUGGAGGCUGAGAGUGGCUAGAAGGAUGGAGACAUGAAUUCCAAUCUUUGGCAGAAAAUUAUCUGCCUUCUUAUGGGGAAGGGCCAUUACUUUACUGGUAAUAUGAAAGUAAUGACCUUUACCUUACUAUUAAUGGCCAAAAUAAUGGCUGUAACUCCUAUAAAAGGAAUUUAUAUAUGGGCUGUAACAGUUAACAUCCUCCCCCCCUAAAAAAUAAAAAUAUACCAGGCAUUACAUAAUGUCUUGCAAAUAUGUGAAUCUCUAACAAUAAGUUUGGUGUGACGUCAUGGUCCUCAAUCCUCAUAUAUGUAUGUUUUAUCUAUAAAUAUGCGUGUUAUAAAUAUCUAGUGAAGCAUAACUAGUCUGCUAGUCUUUGCAGUUGGAUAUUAUUAUUUUUUCUCUAGUCAGGUCCAGAGAAGUAUAGUAUAUGGUGAUCAACCAAGAAAUAGGCUUGAUUUGUAUUUACCAAAAAAUACUGAUGGGCCAAAGCCAGUUGUUGCAUUUGUAACUGGGGGGGCCUGGAUUAUUGGUUAUAAAGCAUGGGGUUCUCUUUUAGGUAAGCAGUUAUCAGAAAGAGAUAUCAUGGUGGCUUGUAUAGAUUACAGAAAUUUCCCUCAGGGAACCAUGAGUGACAUGGUGAAGGAUGCUUCUCAAGGCAUCUCAUUUGUGUGCAAUAACAUUGCUCAAUAUGGAGGUGAUCCUAACAGGAUUUAUUUAAUGGGUCAGUCAGCUGGUGCACAUAUUGCUGCUUGUGCUCUGGUGGAGCAGGCAAUCAAGGAGACCAGUGAAGGAGAAAGCAUUACUUGGAGUGUUUCCCAGAUUAAGGCUUAUUUUGGUCUAUCUGGAGGGUACAAUUUGUUGAACCUGGUAGAUUACUUCCACAGCCGUGGUUUGUACCGUUCCAUCUUUCUAAGCAUAAUGGAAGGAGAAGACUCUUUACGAAGAUUUUCUCCUGAAGUAAUUGUACAGGACCCCACCUUAAAGAAUGCAGUUUCUCUCCUACCUCCUAUUAUUCUUUUUCAUGGUACUGAUGAUUAUUCCAUUCCAUUUGAUGCCAGGUCUGUUUUCCUAUCAAUAAUUUAUUUGUUUAUUUAUUUUUGCAUGUAUUCAGUAUUCUUUUCUGAACUUAAAUUGUUUAUGGCUUCUUGAGGCAUGCUGUUUUGCGUUAACCUUUUAUUAAUCAUAAUUGAUUGUGCUGUUCUUUGUUUUAGUUCUGGAGUAAUAUUAACAUCAUAUCAUGGAAGACAUAAACUACAAAUCCUUCAUGCUGUUCUCAUUAUAUUUACAGAUGAUUACGUUUGUGUUUACAUUUAUGGAAGACUAUACGCAUCUACUUCAAACACAAAGCACCCUCUUGAGUCAUGAUCCUUACAUAUAUGUUUAUGUUUAUUGCAUGCAAUUCGAGCAUAAUCCUAUUUGGGACUCAACAUUGAGCAUUGAAUAGGCAUCCUGCACUUGACUUUGUUUGACGCAGUUCCACUUUUGAUUCUUAGACCUGAUUAAUGCAACUAAUAAUUAGCAAUUUAUUAUUUGUUGAGUUCCAUGAGUAAGCUGAAUAUGAUUCAUUAUCUUGAGAUUUCUGUAAUGAUCUAUAAAAGUUCUGAACUCCUAGAAUACACCAACCAAAUAUACCGAACCACUGCUCAUAUGUAGCUUCCGAAAUUUUGCCAUCCAGUACCAAGUAUGAGCAAAAACCAUACACAUGAUAAGGCCUGUGUAUGUUCUAGAAACUUUAUUCAGGUUCUUUUUGCUGUUCCUUCUGUGCAGUAAAAAUUUUGCUGAAACUCUUCAAAGAGUUGGAGUUAGAGCUGAAUCAAUUUUAUAUGAAGGGAAGACUCAUACGGAUGUGUUCCUUCAGGAUCCAAUGAGAGGUGGCAAAGAUCAGAUGUUUGAAGAUUUAGUUGCAAUCGUUCAUGCUGGAGAUCCAGAAGCCCAGGAAAAAGAUGCAGGGGCUCCUCCAAGAAGACGUCUUGUUCCUGAAUUCAUGCUACAGGUGGCGCGCAGAGUCAGCCCUUUCUAACUGUUCCCAAACACUUUUAACUUCCCAACUACUAACCAUAAAACCCCAACUGAUGUAAAUAUCACUAAUGGGAGUUGAUCAUUUUUCAUCAUCUGUUUCGUGUGGCCUUUACACUGGUCUUCCUCUUGUUGUUGUUCUUCUUAUUUUAAUAUUUUUCCCAUAUAGAUGGAGGGUUCCUUUCUUUAUGUUGGAGAAUGUUGCUUUGAGCCUGAAUAGUCUCCUACCGCAGAAAUUGCAGAAGAAUGAACACAAAACGUAAAUUCAAGGUUUCCAAGACACUGUUUCCAAAUUCGUAUGCCCAUCCCCUAUAUCUAUUUUUGGUUGAGAGGGUUUUUGAUUUAGUACUUCGAAUAUACUAAAUAAUUUCCAAACAUAGAAUAAGAAUGAAAGCCUCCACGGGGGCGGGGCCAAAAUUCAAGACUUCUCAUGUACGA